rnacentral:rRNA from 1 species
UUAAGUGAAUAAGGGCGUACGGUGGAUGCCUAGGCACUUGGAACUGAAGAAGGACGCAACAAACGGCGAAACGCGACGGGGAGUGGUACGUACACAAAGAUCCGUCGAUAUCCGAAUGGGGAAACCCGGCAGCAGUAAUGAGCUGUCACCCAUGAGUGAAUACAUAGCUCAUGAGGGAGGUACCCGGAGAACUGAAACAUCUAAGUAUCCGGAGGAAAAGAAAAUAAGAAUGAUUCCGUAAGUAGCGGCGAGCGAACGCGGAGGAGCCCAAACCAGAUCUUGAUCUGGGGUUGUAGGACCACGAAAUGGCAAGAGCAUGGCUAAGAGAACGGCAUUGAAAGGCCGACCGGAGAGGGUGCAAGUCCCGUAACUGAAAGUCUAGCGAAGCCUAGUGGUAUCCUGAGUACGGCGAGACACGAGAAAUCUUGUCGGAAGCAGGCGGGACCAUCCGUCAAGGCUAAAUAUACCCAAGUGACCGAUAGUGAACCAGUACCGUGAGGGAAAGGUGAAAAGAACCGCGGGAGCGGAGUGAAAUAGAACCUGAAACCGUAUGCUUACAAGAAGUCAGAGCCCGUUAAAGGGUGAUGGCGUGCCUUUUGUAGAAUGAACCGGCGAGUUACGUUAUCGUGCGAGGUUAAGUAGAAGAUACGGAGCCGAAGCGAAAGCGAGUCUUAAUAGGGCGACAGUACGAUGAUGUAGACCCGAAACCGUGUGAUCUAGCCAUGACCAGGUUGAAGUUCAGGUGAAACUGAAUGGAGGACCGAACCGACCCCCGUUGAAAAGUUGGCGGAUGAGUUGUGGCUAGGGGAGAAAUUCCAAUCGAACACGGAUAUAGCUGGUUCUCCCCGAAAUAGCUUUAGGGCUAGCGUCGAGGUAGAGUCGCAUGGAGGUAGAGCACUGAAUGUACGAUGGCCCCAUCCCGGGGUACUGAGUAUAAUCAAACUCCGAAUGCCAUGCAGACAUACUCGGCAGUCAGACUGUGGGUGAUAAGGUCCAUGGUCAAAAGGGAAACAGCCCAGACCGCCAGUUAAGGUCCCAAAAUGUAUGCUAAGUGGAAAAGGAUGUGGGGAUGCACAGACAACUAGGAGGUUGGCUCAGAAGCAGCCAUCCUUCAAAGAGUGCGUAACAGCUCACUAGUCGAGUGACCCUGCGCCGAAAAUGUACCGGGGCUAAGCAUACUACCGAAGUUGCGGAUUCAACUUCAGAGUUGAGUGGUAGGGGAGCGUUGCAUGCACGUAGAAGCCGUACCGUAAGGAGCGGUGGAGAGCAUGGAAGAGAGAAUGCCGGUGUGAGUAGCGAGAUGUAGGUGAGAAUCCUACACACCGAUAGCCCAAGGAUUCCAGGGGAAGGUUCGUCCGCCCUGGGUAAGUCGGGACCUAACGCGAGGCCGAAAGGCGUAGUGGAUGGAAAACAGGCAGAUAUUCCUGUACCCGCGAUGGAAAUGAAGGAAUGACGGAGAAGGCUAGUGUGAGCCACUGAAUGGAUUGUGGUCGAAGCAUAUAGCAGGCUGACAGUGAAAUGCGUCAGCGGGAUGUAAGAUGUGAUAGGUAAGGGAACGUCCUUGGACAAGUACUGAAGCACAUGAUGCCAGCUUCCAAGAAAAGUUUCUAGUGAUGAUUCCAUAGCGGCCCGUACCAAAACCGACACAGGUGGGCAAGGAGAGAAUCCUGAGGUGAGCGAGAGAACUGUUGCCAAGGAACUCGGCAAAAUGACUCCGUAAGUUAGCGAUAAGGAGUGCUCUUGUAAAAGAGAGCCGCAGUGAAGAGGCCCAAGCGACUGUUUAACUAAAACACAGCUCUCUGCAAAGUCGCAAGACGAAGUAUAGGGGGUGACGCCUGCCCGGUGCUGGAAGGUUAAGAGGAUUUGUCAUCCGCAAGGAGAAGCAAUGAAUUGAAGCCCCAGUGAACGGCGGCCGUAACUAUAACGGUCCUAAGGUAGCGAAAUUCCUUGUCAGGUAA